rnacentral:rRNA from 1 species
UCAGGCUGCAUCACCUCCUUAGAGUUUGAAUCCUGGCUCAGAGCGAACGCUGGCGGCAGGCCUAACACAUGCAAGUCGAACGAACUCUUCGGAGUUAGUGGCGGACGGGUGAGUAACACGUGGGAACGUGCCUUUAGGUUCGGAAUAACUCAGGGAAACUUGUGCUAAUACCGAAUGUGCCCUUCGGGGGAAAGAUUUAUCGCCUUUAGAGCGGCCCGCGUCUGAUUAGCUAGUUGGUAAGGUAAUGGCUUACCAAGGCUACGAUCAGUAGCUGGUCUGAGAGGAUGACCAGCCACAUUGGGACUGAGACACGGCCCAAACUCCUACGGGAGGCAGCAGUGGGGAAUCUUGCGCAAUGGGCGAAAGCCUGACGCAGCCAUGCCGCGUGUAUGAUGAAGGUCUUAGGAUUGUAAAAUACUUUCACCGGGAA